GUCUUUUAGAAUAUAAUUUAAAGUCUAACCUGCCCACUGAAUUUAUUUGAAGGGCCGCGGUAUUUUGACUGUGCAAAGGUAGCAUAAUCAUUAGUCUUUUAAUUGGAGGCUUGUAUGAAUGGUUGGAUGAAACAUUAACUGUCUCAAUUUAAUAAAAAUAGAAUUUAAUUUUUAAGUUAAAAAGCUUAAAUUUAAUUAGAGGACGAGAAGACCCUAUAGAUCUUUAUAAUUAAUUAUUUAUUAUUAAUUUAGUAAAUUAAUUUUUAUUAAUUAGUUAAUUAUUUUAUUGGGGUGAUAAAUAAAUUUAGUAAACUUUAUUUUAUAUAAACAUUUAUGUAUGAAUAUUUGAUCCAUUAUUAAUGAUUAAAAGAUUAAGUUACCUUAGGGAUAACAGCGUAAUUUUUUUAGAGAGUUCUAAUCGAUAAAAAAGUUUGCGACCUCGAUGUUGAAUUAAAGGUUAAUUUUAGGUGCAGAAGUUUAAAGUUUUGGUCUGUUCGACCAUUAAAUC
rnacentral:rRNA from 1 species